GGGGAGGGGGUUAGCCGCAGAAGCUAACAGCUCAGCAGAGUCCAGCAGUCCGAGGAAAGGAGACCUGAGAGACCUGAGAGAGACCAGGACCCGGUGCACAUACCUGCAGCCGUCUGCUGGUCUCUGUGCAUCAACAUGUCCAUCAGACCCAGGAUGAGACCCACGUUCAGACCCCUCAUGCUAGAUCUGUGCUCACUCCUCAUGUAGUCUUCAAAGCCUCUGGACCGCAUCACAACAAGACCGCUAAUGACGGCACCGAGGAUCCGUUAUCAUCACUGAGAUCUCCAAUCAGACCAGAGCUGUCCGUCAGGCGAGCCCAGAGGUGGAGGUGAAAAGUGCUGUGGAAAGCCUCAGUUUGCACUUCAAAGGGCCGUGUGGGAGGAAGACAGACGCCCACCGUGCGCCGCAGCAGAGCCAUGAAAGCAGCGACCGCUGGAGUUUAACCUCCUCUGAAAACACCCCGACACACAUCAGAUCCACUCUGACCGCUGUUCUACACCGAGCCAGCAGGAGGCCGCUGGUCUGGACGGACAGGUCAGACCUGAUCCAUAUGUUGUAGAGCCUUGAUGUGUGAAGUCUAAUUUCUCAGGUGUCAUUGGUGUGUUUGAUCAGGAGGGGAGGGUCAUGGGGCGCUGUGGAUCAGAGAGGAAUUACAAAUCUGGAAAAGACCUCCUGACCACCGGACGAUAAAGAAGUGACUCAGACAGUUUCAUUGUGAAACGUGAACCGGUUGAAUCCAUGACCUUGUUGAUUUUUCUUUGGUAGAUGAAUCUGUUUGUCCUUCUGUUCA